UUGUCGUAUCUGAUUAUUUGAUUUUUGAAAAAGGAAAUUGGUUAAUUGGUGUUGACUCCAGUGGGUCAAGAUUCGAGUACCAAUAGGAAGCAGCAUAUCCAUUCCCCCAAAUUCCCACACAAGAACAACCCAAGGAGGAGGGUCCUCCCCUCCAAGAUUCAAGCUUCUCUCUUGGUUUCCUCCGCAGUUGCGAUUCUGCGGAGCGCUGAAUACUACGGUAAUGGAUUCCAAGAAGAUGUAUGUUUGCUCCCUGCCUUUGAUGCCAUACGUCGUCUUCGGAUUCGUCGGCUCCCAACUGCCGUCAGCUCCCAACUGGCAGUCCUAUAAAGUGGAUGAUCCGAAUGCGCCGAGAAUGAUUCUUCUCGUUAUUUUGUACAUCUACGUCAUCUUGCUGGCUAAAAUUAAGAACGACAGGAUCUACAUCGAGACGGCAACUGCCGUGGUGAUAUCUUACGUGUCGCUACUUCAAAUCAGCUGGAGCUACAUCUGGCUCGUUCCCUUCCCCAUUGUCGCGAUCGGCUUCAUCGUUGCUCUGUGCAAGGAGCUCAGUCACGAGGACGAGGCCGGUGGAUCACAUUCACAGGAGCAGAGCAAUGAAGGUGAAGGCGAAGCUACUACGUCUUCAUGGGAAAAGUUCCUCCUCUUCUUCAGUUUCAUGCUGGGGGCACUGACCAUGAUGAUGACUCGGCUGGUGGAGACGGGGCGGGCCAUUGCCCACCGCGGCAUCGUGCCGGCGUCCGAGCUGCUUUGGAAAGCCUCGCUCGUGGUGCUGCUGGUGGCGGUGCACGCAGUGGCGGCAGAGCUGCUGGGAGAGAACGCGUUACUCCUGUGCAUGCCGGAAAUCCUGCCGGUGCUGCUGUGGCUCAGCGUUCGCCUUGACACUGCUGACGACAGGAUCAAGCUGGUCCUGGACAGUAAUCUGCUCCCCGCAGCACUACCUGCAGUCCUCGCCAUGCUAGCGAAGGGCGAGCCCCUGCUCUACUGGUGCAGAAAGGCGUUGGUGUCUUGUGUUGUUUCGGCGCUUCUUACCUUCUACGUUUAUUUCAUGCUGUGCCAGUGGCCGGGAGGACAACGCGAUCGCACGCUCACAGGUUCCUCUUUGCAGCACGCGCUCAUCCAUCUCAAGUCUUGGGCAAAGGUUUUGCUCAAAGCGGUGGCUGUGCUGCUAAUAUUUGUAUGCAUUCUUUCCAACUAGUUCUACUGCAAGAACCGGUGGUCUCAUCAUCAGCCGACCAAAUCUUCGAUGUGUAGCAUGUACUUUUCAGGGGCACAUACUGGAUGAGACAAUGGAUGCUGCUGCUAAAGGAAGAAGAAAAAUUACAAGUAAAGCAGGGAUGCAGGCUGCUUGAAGUUGCAAUGAUGCAAAUCUUUGCUAAAAAUGGUUGGAACUUUAGUAAUCGAUUGUGCUUGUAAUCUGUAAUGUUAUGGUGGCAUCUAUGUUUCGAGUAUGGUUUUGUUCCUGUUUGAACCCAGUAUUUUUGAUGUAUUGGACAGCUAUAUGCCCAAUAUUUUUGAUGUAUUGGACAGCUAUAUGCAUAUUGUCAUGCAGAGGUUGGAAUAAUCAAGUUAUUCCCUUUUCUAAAAAAUAUGUAAAAAAGAUCCUCCAGUUCA